rnacentral:rRNA from 1 species
UACGGAGGGUGCAAGCGUUAUCCGGAUUCACUGGGUUUAAAGGGAGCGUAGGUGGGUUGGUAAGUCAGUGGUGAAAUCCCCGAGCUUAACUUGGGAACUGCCAUUGAUACUAUCAGUCUUGAAUACUGUGGAGGUUAGCGGAAUAUGUCAUGUAGCGGUGAAAUGCUUAGAUAUGACAUAGAACACCAAUUGCGAGGGCAGCUGGCUACACAAUUAUUGACACUGAGGCUCGAAAGCGUGGGGAUCAAACAGG